ensembl:lncRNA
UCUGAACUGAGUGGCAAAACAUAGGGAAUGGGACAUCAGGAGGGCCAGUCUCAGUUUUAAUGCUAUGACCCUGGGCAAAUUACCUGUCUGCCCCUGUUUUAUCACACCACACACUUUGUCUUGUCUGUCCAGACUCUAGCUGCUUUGGGACAGACACCAUCUCUCAAAAUGUGUUAGUAAUUCUCCUUGGAGGGCACUGGAGAACAAAAUAAGUGCUUAGUAUAUCAUCAAAAUAUUUAGUAAAUAAUAGGCAAUUGUGAGUCACUGCCCUGUAACUCCAUGUCUGGCUCUUGGUUUGUUGAAGAACAGCUAUGAAUCAGCUUUGGUCUGCAGGGUACUUGGAAAGCACCCAGCACGCGGACAGCUUCGUCUGUGAAUGCCUUUUUUUUUACAGGAUAAUCUGGUUCUGCGAUAGCACAGGGGAGUUUUGGCUGAUACAGUGACAUCAGGCUCAGCGCUCCUACCCCACACAAAGAAGAGUUCAUUCUGCUGGGGGUUGCCCUUCUCUUCCCAGCCCUUCCACCCCUGCACCUUUGGCUGCUGGAUGAUGCUCUUGUCAGCCCAGUGAAAAUUCUUGUGCAAUCCUGACAAAUGAACACCACAAGAAGUUGGAUCUGGAAAGACCAUCUUCAGCUGUUAUCGCCUGCCUUCACACACUCCGAGGCCAGAUGGCUGAAGAGAAGGCGUUCAGCCACCAGUCAGUGGGCACUACAGGACUUUCCCAUCAAUCCAGAGAAAGACAAUUCAUUUUUCCCUUUCUGGUAUCAUUCAGGCUGCUGUGUGAUGGGAGACUCAAGGGUAACCAACAGCUAAUCCUUGCAGAGCUGGCAGCUCUGGGCAGUAGUCAUAGCUGGAGGGAGGAUACCAAAGACUUUAUGGGGAAAAUUCCCUCUGAUUGCAAAGGGCCAGAGUAAGUGGGGAGAGGUUACUUCUUAUUUUGGGGUAGUCCCUUGGGAUAGUCCAGAUGUGCUCCAUCAUGUCUGGUGGGGCACAUCAAGUGAACAAAUAGUCUUUCAAGUGGAACCUUUGUCCUCCAAGGUAACUUUAAUGGGUUUUCACUAUUCCAUUAUUUCCCAUUGGUGGGUUUCCAUAUGGUUGCUGAAGAUCAUCAGGGAGUUGCACCAUCUGAAAGGGUAUUGUACCAAAGGUUCAACAUGUAGACCCAUAUUCAAGCCUGGAAGACUAAGAAACCAGACUCAUAGGUACAUGUGGCAAACAUAAGUGAGAUGGACAUGACUUAACACUUUGCCAAUAAAAAAGAAAACCCCCCAUCAGCAUUAUGACUUGCCAUCUUUCAUAAUGCAAUGAAACUGGAAGAUAAAUAGGGAACUUAGAAACCUCUAAUAGCUUUUAAAGAACGUGGUACAGCUGCAGUCAAACAAAUGUGCCCGGGUUUUGAUGUUCUAAUAUAUUUUGUCAUUUCUUUUCUGGAAGAGAAAGGAGAAAGCAAUGAAAAUUAGGUUUUGUUUUCCAUUGUUUGUCCCAGCUCCAGCAGUAUGUGCAGAAGAUUGGGUACAUUGAGAUAGCCCUUGAAUAAUGUUGCGAAGGUGGACAGAGAUUAAGAAGAAAAGCGUCCAGUUUGGAGUCAGACAGUAUAAAGAAAUGAAAAUAAAAU